rnacentral:rRNA from 1 species
GGGUGGGAACCCGGGGCCACCUGCCCUGAUUUGGGAUAAGCGCGGAAAGGGCUUUAAUACGGAAAAAAGCUCUCAUCCCCGGGGGGGGGUGGAAAGAUUCUUUGUUUGGGAGGGGCUGGCGGCCUAUCAGCUUGUUGGUGAGGUAAGGUUUCACCAGGGCGUCGACGGGUAGCCUGCCUGAGAGGGUGACCGGCCACACUGGGACUGAGACACGGCCCAGACUCCUACGGGAGGCAGCAGUGGGGAAUAUUGCACAAUGGGCGGAAGCGUGAUGCAGCAACGCCGCCUGAGCGAUGACGGCCUUCGGGUCGUAAACCUCUUAUAGCAGGGAAGAAGCGAGAGUGACGGUACCUGCAGAAAAAGCGCCGGCUAACUACGUGCCAGCAGCCGCGGUAAUACGUAGGGCGCGAGCGUUAUCCGGAAUUAUUGGGCGUAAAGAGCUCGUAGGCGGUUUGUCGCGUCUGCUGUGAAAUCCCGAGGCUCAACCUCGGGCCUGCAGUGGGUACGGGCAGACUAGAGUGCGGUAGGGGAGAUUGGAAUUCCUGGUGUAGCGGUGGAAUGCGCAGAUAUCAGGAGGAACACCGAUGGCGAAGGCAGAUCUCUGGGCCGUAACUGACGCUGAGGAGCGAAAGGGUGGGGAGCAAACAGGCUUAGAUACCCUGGUAGUCCACCCCGUAAACGUUGGGAACUAGUUGUGGGGACCAUUCCACGGUUUCCGUGACGCAGCUAACGCAUUAAGUUCCCCGCCUGGGGAGUACGGCCGCAAGGCUAAAACUCAAAGGAAUUGACGGGGACCCGCACCAGCGGCGGAGCCUGCGGAUUAAUUCGAUGCAACGCGAAGAACCUUACCAAGGCUUGACAUACACCAGAACACCGUAGAAAUACGGGACUCUUUGGACACUGGUGAACAGGUGGUGCAUGGUUGUCGUCAGCUCGUGUCGUGAGAUGUUGGGUUAAGUCCCGCAACGAGCGCAACCCUCCUUCUAUGUUGCCAGCACGUAAUGGUGGGAACUCAUGGGAUACAGCCGGGGUCAACUCGGAGGAAGGUGGGGAGGACGUCAAAUCAUCAUGCCCCUUAUGUCUUGGGCUUCACGCAUGCUACAAUGGCCGGUACAAAGGGCUGCAAUACCCUGAGGUGGAGCGAAUCCCAAAAAGCCGGUCCCAGUUCGGAUUGAGGUUUGCAACUCGACCUCCUGAAGUGGGAGUCGCUAGUAAUCGCAGAUCAGCAUCGCUACCU